UACAGAGGGUGCGAGCGUUGUUCGGAAUUAUUGGGCGUAAAGGGCGCGUAGGCGGUGCCACAAGUCACUUGUGAAAUCCCCGGGCUUAACUCGGGGCCUGCAGGCGAAACUGUGGUGCUGGAGUAUGGGAGAGGUGCGUGGAAUUCCCGGUGUAGCGGUGAAAUGCGUAGAUAUUGGGAAGAACACCGGUGGCGAAGGCGGCCAUCUGGACCGGCACUGACGCUGAGGCGCGAAAGCGUGGGGAGCAAACAGG
rnacentral:rRNA from 1 species